rnacentral:rRNA from 1 species
AUUGAACGCUGGCGGCAUGCCUUACACAUGCAAGUCGAGCGCGAAAGGGGGCAACCCCGAGUAGAGCGGCGGACGGGUGAGUAACGCAUCGGAACGUGCCCAGUAGUGGGGGACAACCUCGAGAAAUCGAGGCUAAUACCGCAUACGACCCACGGGUGAAAGCGGGGGACCGCAAGGCCUCGCGCUAUUGGAGCGGCCGAUGUCCGAUUAGCUAGUUGGCGGGGUAAGAGCCCACCAAGGCGACGAUCGGUAGCUGGUCUGAGAGGACGACCAGCCACACUGGGACUGAGACACGGCCCAGACUCCUACGGGAGGCAGCAGUGGGGAAUCUUGCGCAAUGGGCGAAAGCCUGACGCAGCGACGCCGCGUGGGGACGAAGGCC